rnacentral:rRNA from 1 species
AAUAGAUACCCUGGUAGUCCACGCCGUAAACGAUGAGUGCUAGGUGUUAGGGGGUUUCCGCCCCUUAGUGCUGAAGUUAACGCAUUAAGCACUCCGCCUGGGGAGUACGGCCGCAAGGCUGAAACUCAAAAGAAUUGACGGGGGCCCGCACAAGCGGUGGAGCAUGUGGUUUAAUUCGAAGCAACGCGAAGAACCUUACCAGGUCUUGACAUCCGCUGACAAUCUUGGAGACAAGACGUUCCCUUCGGGGACAGCGUGACAGGUGGUGCAUGGUUGUCGUCAGCUCGUGUCGUGAGAUGUUGGGUUAAGUCCCGCAACGAGCGCAACCCUUGAUUCUAGUUGCCAGCAUUCAGUUGGGCACUCUAGAGUGACUGCCGGUGACAAACCGGAGGAAGGUGGGGAUGACGUCAAAUCAUCAUGCCCCUUAUGACCUGGGCUACACACGUGCUACAAUGGAUGGUACAAAGGGCAGCAAAGUCGCGAGGCUAAGCAAAUCCCAUAAAACCAUUCUCAGUUCGGAUUGCAGG